GUGCUCACUUUCGCAGCACAUAUUUAAAAAAUUGGAACGAUACACAGAAGACUGGAGUAGGCCUGUGCAAGGAUGACACGCAAAUUUGGGAAGCGUUCAAGAAGGGC